rnacentral:snRNA from 1 species
GUGCUCGCUUCGGCAGCACAUAUACUAAAAUUGGAACAAUAUAGAGAAGAUUAGCAUGGCUCCUGCACAAGGAUGACAUGCAAAUAUGUGAAGUGUUCCAUAUUUUA